UACGUAGGGGGCGAGCGUUGUCCGGAGUUACUGGGCGUAAAGGGCAUGCAGGCGGUCGGACGCGUUUUGUGUGACAGCGGGUGGCUCAACUGCCCGAGCAUACGAAAGACGGUUUGACUUGAGGGCUCGAGAGGGACACGGAAUUCCGGAUGGAGUGGUGAAAUGCGUAGAGAUCCGGAGGAACACCGAAGGCGAAGGCAGUGUCCUGGCGAGUGACUGACGCUGAGGUGCGAAAGCCAGGGGAGCGAACGGG
rnacentral:rRNA from 1 species